rnacentral:rRNA from 1 species
GACGAGGGGUCCAAGCGUUGUUCGGAAUCAUUGGGCGUAAAGCGGGUGUAGGUGGUUCUGUAAGUCAGGAGUGAAAUCCCCGAGCUUAACUUGGGAAGUGCUUUUGAAACUGCAGAACUUGAAUGUGGGAGAGGAUCGUGGAAUUCCAGGUGUAGUGGUGAAAUACGUAGAUAUCUGGAGGAACACCGGUGGCGAAGGCGGCGAUCUGGCCCAACAUUGACACUGAGACCCGAAAGCGUGGGGAUCAAACAGG